rnacentral:rRNA from 1 species
UCAGUCGACUCCUACGGGGAGGCAGCAGUGGGGAAUAUUGCACAAUGGGGGAAACCCUGAUGCAGCCAUGCCGCGUGUGUGAAGAAGGCCUUCGGGUUGUAAAGCACUUUCAGUAGGGAGGAAGGUAGUGUAGUUAACACCUGCAUUAUUUGACGUUACCUACAGAAGAAGCACCGGCUAACUCCGUGCCAGCAGCCGCGGUAAUACGGAGGGUGCGAGCGUUAAUCGGAAUUACUGGGCGUAAAGCGCAUGCAGGCGGCCUGUUAAGUCAGAUGUGAAAGCCCGGGGCUUAACCUCGGAAUUGCAUUUGAAACUGGCAGGCUAGAGUCUUGUAGAGGGGGGUAGGAAUUUCAGGUGUAGCGGUGAAAUGCGUAGAGAUCUGAAGGAAUACCAGUGGCGAAGGCGGCCCCCUGGACAAAGACUGACGCUCAGAUGCGAAAGCGUGGGGAGCAAACAGGAUUAGAUACCCUGGUAG